GCUCAGAGGAUGGGAGGAGCUUCGGCCAGAGUCCACCUAGACCAUUACCUGGCCUCUGACCUCGGGUGAAUGAAUACAUGGUGACAGUCAGGGGCUGUGCCCAGCGAGCAGCAGAGGGAGACCCGGCCAGCCCAGUGACUCAAGCACUGACACCUGUGUCCGCUCAGGCUGCCGUAGCAAAACACCGCAGACGUUGGUCUUCUCACGGUCUGGAGGCUGAAGUCCGAGAUCAAGCCUCGAGGUGACUUCUGCAACUCGACUGACCUUGCCUGGCAGCAGGAGCCUGCCACCUCCAGAGCAUUCCUAAUCCCAGUGGACCUUCCCUCAGGGCCACACGAACAUUCCUUUCAUAAAACCUGCAACCUUCUCUUUGUUCUUCGGACAUACUGAAGGCCAUGCAGUCUGGUGUAUGUCUUGAAUGGCAAUUCUUUCUUUCCAAAGAAAAUGUUAAAUUUGCA